GGGGCUAGGAAGGUCUGACUACGGUCCUACAAACACCAAUCCGAACGUGGUGGAAUACGUCGACCGUUAGAGCUGUCACUACCCUAAGGCUACCACAACAAUCCGCAGGAUUGGGUGCAAUUCCAGGUAAUCGCAAGACUAAACACCACGUCUAAUCUAUUAAUUACUACUCUAGCGUUAUAAAGACUAGAGCACUUGAUGCAAGCGGGAAUCCAAUAAAUAAUUUGAAUGUAAAUAAAAGUAAUUAGAGAACUCAGGAAUUAUGAGUUGAAGAACCUGGAGAACGAUGAAGAACGAACCAGUUGCUGCAAAAGUACAAUGUUGAGGAAGAUCCGACAGAUCCGGCUCCUCCUCCGCUCUCCUCUUCUCUCUCCCUAUUUUCUAGAUUACAACUAGAACUAACUAGAACUAGAACUAGAGGAACUAGAACAAGAACUAGAUGAACUAGAACUAGAUCUAGAUGAACUAGAAGUAGAACUAGAAGAACUAGAGGGAUCCUCUCUACUUGGAUGAAGAAUUGAAACCCUAACUUUGAUUCUGUAGAAGAGGUAUGAUCUCCAGGGGCCAGGGGGGUCUGGUUUUAUAGUCCCUUCAAGUGAAUCUGGGCCGUUGGAUCAAACCGACAUUGAUCGUGUGGUUUUCCUUGAUCCUUUAGGUCGGUGGAGCAAUAUCCCGAAAGAGAGUCCUGAUUGGUCUCUGGCUGAGGGCGGGCGCCCAGUCCCUGUGUCCUCUCGGCCUCCGCUUCGGUCCCGUGGCUUCUGGAGUCUUCUAGAUGAUAGAAAAUUACGCAGCACGUCAAUAUCUCUAUGUAAACCCGACGUGUGGGCCUUUCUUCCAUAUUUCCUGAUAACCCCCUGCAGAAAUAGACAAACACCAAAACUCGUGGAAUUCUGUCAGAUAAAACCCUAAGUCUAGGUGUUGGUUGCAUUUGGAUCCUUUUCCAUGAUUAGUUGAUGGUUAAAUUUGAGCAUUAAGGACCGUCAACAAGCUCCCCCAAGCUUAACCUUUGCUCGUCCCUGAGCAAAGAUGAACUCAAGAGUUUCUGCAGUGGUUUCAUACCUUAAAGAUAUACAUGCAUUCAAACAAGAUCUCAUCUCUGGGUUAGGGUAACUGUUAAGAUUUAAACUUACUCAUAUUACCUUCCACCAUGGGGCUUGCAACCGUCACUUGAGUCUUGAGUAGUUAAAAGAUAGAACGGUCUAGUCAAGCGCCAUGUCUCUUGUUCUUCGAUUAACUAUAGCUCUGGAGUUUUUGCAGAUUUUCAAAUAAAACUCAGAGAUUCCUUGUAUGACUCUCUCUAGUCUCUCUUUUGUGGUAUUUCUGGAUCCUUACCAAGGCAGUAAUGGUAUAUGCCUUCUCUCAAAGUAUGUGGUAUUUGUGGUAUAAGGCAUAGUGACAUUGCCUUCUCUCUCACCCUACUCUAAUAAGGCUUUUGAUAUCUGGAGCUCAUAGGUGGGAGACAGCUAAUACAUACUUACAAGACAUUUAUUGCAUAGUCAAACCAUGGAUCCAGAAGAACAAGUCAAUAAGUCAAAUCAAGAUGUGCAUGUGUGGCGAAUGAAUGGUGCAUGGUAAUGAUGGUGAUAACAAUGGUGAAAGUCUAAUUCUACUUGUGCUCUUUUGAGGGGAUACAUACCUUUCUUGCUCUUUUGAAACUUUUUGAGGAGAAUGAGAUGCUCUAUAUUUUAUUUUUCUUUUCUCUCAGGUGGGUAUCUUGUACCCCUAAUUGUACUAUCGGACACUUGUCCAUUUUUACCUCUCGUCUCACUUUUUCUUUUCUUCGAGGUUCCGGGCACUUGCCCCUUUUUAUUUCCUCGUAUAUAUUUUUUUUUGCUUUUUUUUCUUCUUUUUUUUAGAGCACUCAUCUCAUGAGAUAAUAUAGCAAGUGGUAGUAACAAGAUAACUUGAGCAUUUAUUUCACAGGGGAAAAACAGAAAUCUUUUUGGCUAUUCUCUCCCGGAUUAGGAGUAGAAUAUUUUUGGGUGGUUCUGGAGAUGGAAAUGGAUGGAUAUAUGUGAGUGCGUACUUCCGAAGUAGAAGUAGCAUGUAUGAGUGAACGUGAAAGUGAAUCUUGAUUUAACCACAUGACAAGCUCCUAAGGGUCUACAAAGCUUGACCACACUCAAUGCUCAUAAGCAGUAAAAAGUAAAUGUGUGGCUCAAAGUCUAGCAAGCAUGUAUAUAUGGCUGUGGUAGGAAUUUAAACUCUCAUCAUACAGGAACUCAUCAUGCAACAAUUUAAAGAUUUUCAAAGAUAAAAUUCUCCAGAAUUCUAGCAUCUCUAGGAACAGAUAAACAGCAGCUCAACCUUCCCAUAUCGUAUCCGUUAACGACUUAGACUUUAGAUCAAGUACUCUCCCCACAAGUUCAGGUUUAGAGCAAAUCUUAAUUAAUAACAGUCAUGCCUAAACUUGAGAGAGAUUUCAAUUUUUAGAACUAGUCAUGGCAGAGCAACUAUACAUCAUUUCCAUGUGAGAGCUUAUCAUGAGGGUUCAUAGCAAACUUUAUUUAUUUAUUUAUUUAGCAAACUAAGCAAAGAUAUAUGUAUAUAAGCACAAAAUCUUUAUUUGGGUUUAUAUGAUUAUGCAUCUUUUUAUUAUUAGAGUAAAGUAUAAACGUGAGUAGAAUACUUAGCUGGAUAAAUGGGGGUGCUCUCCCCCAAGCUGGAUUUUGACAUAAUUCCAUUUGAUGUAGCUAGCAAGUGGUGGAGGUGUAUUUGAAUGUCGGCAGCACCCUGACAGCGAUUAGGAUGUCCUCCCUCUGCUAGUCUUCUUUGAUCCUUGAAUUCUGUGGAGCUCAAAUAGACAACAAAGCUUUGUGGAACUGGUUAAGUGUUAGCAUAAAUACCUAGCCUUUAUCAUGUUGAGCCUCCUCAAUAAAUAUUACUUUCUUUGGUAGGAUCAUAAAUUUAUUUUUAUAUUUUUAUUUUUAUAGGACAGGAAUAUAUUUAUUUUAUUUUUACGCCACCACAGUGAAUAUACUUAUGGGUUUUAUGCCAUGAGCAUACUCACAUGGGGCUUACUAUUUUUAACAUUUUUAUUUUCUUUUCAAGAUGAUGUGAACCUGAUUAACUAAGCAAAACUAUUUUAAAUAAUUGAAAGGAAAAAGAUAACUACCAAGUUUACCUUUUGGCAAGGCGUUCGGUGUUUUUAAGUCCUCCGAACGGGACUCUUCGUUUUCUCAGUCCUCCUGGGAUUCGCUGGAUGGUGUAGUCGGUGGUUCCGGCGGUGCCUCCUUUUCAUGUAUAACUAUCUUAUCUCUCCACACCUGACUCGGUGCUACGGUCUCCUCAGGACAGUUCUAUUCAAGUUGUAUGUCUUCAGACUUUACCACUUCUCCUUCAUAGUCUGCCCAUCCGUCCUUGAUGAUUUUGCCUUCUCUGGUUGCAGUUGCAUCGUCUUCUUCUUGUCCUGACCUGCUUAGAGUCUUCAACUAUAUAGUUAGGGUCAGUAAAAUAGCGGCGUACCUUCUCAGAGGGGAAGUGCAUGUGGACUGCUCCGGUUCCAAUGUAAAUGAUUGCUUUAACGGUGCUGAGGAACGGUCUCCCAAGGAUGAUGGGUGGAUCGUACUUGUCUUCGACCUUUCGGAAUGUCUGAUCUGCCAUCUGGAGCUGAAUGUAUGUUGGUUUCAGGGGCAUGGUUCCGAAUAGGAGCUGAUAGGUGACUGGGUCGUCCUUUUUGGUCAGGAAUGGUGACUUAAAUCGACGAUCUUGACCUCCUUGAACUGCAGUGACCAUCUUAGCUGACUCAGUCCACAUUUGCUUGUUUCUAUUCCUCCUGUUGGUCCCCUUCCUUGGUUCGUGUCGGGAUUGCUCUAAGACUUGUGUAGUCUUGUUCUUAAAGGAAAACAUCUCCUUCCUUCCCUUGAUGUAGAAAUUGAUCUUGGCAGCACUAGCGUAGAUGACAGCUCCUGAGGUGUUCAGGAAUGGCCUCCCUAGGAUGGGUGCCCUCUCAUCAAUACCAGUCUCUAUCACCAUAAAGUCUGCUAGGGCGUACAAGGUACCAACUCGGACAUAGAGGUUCUUCAAUAUUCCCCUGGGCAUAAUGUUGACACUGGAGCCAAAGUCGCAGAGUGCUUCUAGGAAGUCCACCAUGCCGAUGAAGAUCGAGAUGACGGGGCAUCCUGGAUUGUCUCUCUUGACCGGCAGAAGGUCAGUAAUUACUUCCACAAUGGGGUUACUCUAGUAGUUACAUCCUCAAGCAUCUCAGGGUAGUGAUUGCCUGAGUGUCCAGUAUCUCCAGUGUGUUUGUGCUCGUAAAUCUAGGUUCUUCACUUGGUGGAGUCUGGGAGUUGUAAAAGUCCUUCAUAUUUUGCUCGAAGUGUACCUGCUCAUAGAGACAAGGCAGAGAUCAAGUGCAUGGGCCCUGUUGGUGGAAAACACCAACAGAACCAAAAGUUAAUUUGUUCUUCUCUAACCUUAAGCAUAGUGAGCAAGACAAAGUUGAUGGAUAAUAAGAUCAUGAGUGUAGCAUUUAAAACAUUCGUCAGAUCAGAUCACUCAACCUAAUGGAAAGAUAAUCUAUCUAUACUUAUCUCUUUUUUUUUAUAUAUAUCUUCCAAAGAUUGUGUGUGCAACAUUUAGUGUGGGAUCACAAAGGUGAAAGGACUAAACAUAUUGAAUCGAUUGGCUUGGUUAAUCUAGAAUUGUAAAUCAUACAUGUUUGUCUCUUUUAUUCAUGUGAAUGCUAGAACCAAGGAGAAGCUUAUAGAAGUGAUAGUCAAGUACCUUAAGAUGUUACCUUACUUGAAGAGUGAUGGUACAGUAUCACCUUGUGGAAGCUUUCCUCUCUUAGCGGUUGUGCAUCAUGUUUUUGGCACCCUCCAUGGAUCAUCUCUUGUGAGCUAUGCCUUCCUUGUGUAAAUUGUUAAACUUCAUGUGUGUCUCUCUUUGUCUCCAUUGUGAGUUUAUCUCAGGACUUCCCAGGUCGAUAUUGAAAGUUUUCCUGCAGGGGUUAGUCCAACAAAAUAUCCAAUAUCUACUAUAGCAUACUAUCGGCUCAAAGAUCAACCUAGACACCAUGUCUAAUUUGAUUUAGGAGGGCAUUUUAACCUAAGCAUCAUGCUUAAUUUAAAAUCCCUUGGAAAUAAGAUCAUCAUUCCUAACUAAGCACCAUGCUUAAUUAAGAGAUAAAAGAAACUACUCCAAACCUAGACAUAUACUAAAGCAAAUAAAGGUAGCAUGAGAGCAUUUAUAGAGAUCUACUCAAGUGGAGAUGAAGUAGUGUGAUUAGUAUUUAACAAAUUGAGCAUGUCUCAAAGGUAGGGACAACCAACAUAGCAACAUGGCAAAGGAUGUUUUUAUGUAAAGUACUCCCCAAGCUUGAAUUUUGCAAAAUUCAAGUUUGGAUGAGUUUAAUUCAAUGUUGUAUGAUGAUUGGUUGUACAUACCUUGUGCUUGUCAUUCAUCCGAUCUUCUUGCUCCAAUCCUAGAAAGGUUAGUGACAAGAAUACCCGAAGGAAUUUUUUUUACAGUUAUCCUUAUAUGCUCAAUACACAAGGUAGUGUUGCAAAUAAUAAAAAGCUCAUGUUACGAUCUGAUCAGUGCUUGUUUUAGGACACUAAGCUUGUCCUUGGGAAACCAUCGAUUUAUGUCAGUGAAGUGGUUUCCCCUCCAACGCUGACCUAUAUCAAGAUCAACUCAACGAGAUCUGCAAAAUUUAUUAUAGACAUAUGCAUCGACAACUGCCCUUUAAAAGUUUUUAUAAAUAGAAAGGAAGUGGGGGUUGGAGAUCUCAAAUGUGGUGAUGUUGGAGAGACCAAUGGAUUGUGAAGAUGUUGCAUAUGAGCAUGGAGUAAAUGAAGUGGCUAUGAAAUAAAUUCCAUGCUCAUUAAUGCUUAGAGUGAAAUCCAUGUGGUAUAGUGAAAAUGAUAAGGUGAGUGUGGUAAAAAAGGAAAAGAAAAAGGAUACACGGAUGACUUUGUUCGAAACUAGCACAGCUACCGUUCCCCGGCAACGGCGCCAGAAAGCUUGUUGGGUAUUUUAAACGCAAACAGAAAAAUCCGCAAGCGCACGGAUACCGAUGUAGCCUUCACCCGGGAGUAUUCCAGAGUAUCGAUUUUCCACAGGGAACGUGAGUGUACUAAUUAAGAUCCAAGAUCGCCCAAGGAUAACUAUAUGAUUAUUUUUGGUGGGAAGAGAGGAAGUUUCCUGAGAGUUCUCUAGUUGAUCUAAGAAUCAAGAAUUACUUCAAGAUUAUCUAUAUCGGGACAUCAGAGCACUAACCACAGAAAGAGAUGAGAAGGGGGCUAGGAAGGUCUGACUACGGUCCUACAAACACCAAUCCGAACGUGGUGGAAUACGUCGACCGUUAGAGCUGUCACUACCCUAAGGCUACCACAACAAUCCGCAGGAUUGGGUGCAAUUCCAGGUAAUCGCAAGACUAAACACCACGUCUAAUCUAUUAAUUACUACUCUAGUGUUAUAAAGACUAGAGCACUUGAUGCAAGCGGGAAUCCAAUAAAUAACUUGAAUGUAAAUAAAAGUAAUUAGAGAACUCAGGAAUUAUGAGUUGAAGAACCUGGAGAACGAUGAAGAACGAACCAGUUGCUGCAAAAGUACAAUGUUGAGGAAGAUCCGACAGAUCCGGCUCCUCCUCCGCUCUCCUCUUCUCUCUCCCUAUUUUCUAGAUUACAACUAGAACUAACUAGAACUAGAACUAGAGGAACUAGAACUAGAACUAGAUGAACUAGAACUAGAUCUAGAUGAACUAGAAGUAGAACUAGAAGAACUAGAGGGAUCCUCCCUACUUGGAUGAAGAAUUGAAACCCUAACUUUGAUUCUGUAGAAGAGGUAUGAUCUCCAGGGGCCAGGCGGGUCUGGUUUUAUAGUCCCUUCAAGUGAAUCUGGGCCGUUGGAUCAAACCGACAUUGAUCGUGUGGUUUUCCUUGAUCCUUUAGGUCGGUGGAGCAAUAUCCCGAAAGAGAGUCCUGAUUGGACUCUGGCUGAGGGCGGGCGCCCAGGAAAGGUGGCCGGGCGCCCUGUCCCUGUGUCCUCUCGGCCUCUGCUUCGGUCCCGUGGCUUCUGGAGUCUUCUAGAUGAUAGAAAAUUGCGCAGCACGUCAAUAUCUCUAUGUAAACCCGACGUGUGGGCCUUUCUUCCAUAUUUCCUGAUAACCCCCUGCAGAAAUGGACAAACACCAAAACUCGUGGAAUUCUGUUAGAUAAAACCCUAAGUCUAGGUGUUGGUUGCAUUUGGAUCCUUUUCCAUGAUUAGUUGAUGGUUAAAUGUGAGCAUUAAGGACCGUCAACAGAGAUAAACUCACAUUGGAGACAAAGAGAGAGACACAUGAAGGUUAACAAUCUACACAAGGAAGGCAUAGCUCACAAGAGAUGAUCCAUGGAGGGUGCCACAAACACGAUGCACAACCACUAAGAAAGGAAAGCUUCCACAAGGUAAUAUUGUACCAUCACUCUUCAAGUAAGGUAACAUCUUAAGGUACUUGACUAUCACUUCUAUAAGCUUUUCCUUCGUUCUGGCAUUCACAUGAAUAAAAGAGACAAACAUGUAUGAUUUACAAUUCUAGAUUAACCAACCCAAUCGAUUCAAUAUGUUUAGUCCUUUCACCUUUGUGAUCCCACACUAAAUGUUGCACACAUAAUCUUUGGAAGAUAUCUAUAAAAAAAGAGAUAAGUAUAGAUAGAUUAUCUUUCCAUUAGGUUGAGUGAUCUGAUCUAACAAAUGUUUUAAAUGUUACACUCAUGAUCUUAUUAUCCAUUAACUUUGUCUUGCUCACUAUGCUUAAGGUUAGAGAAGAACAAAUACACUUUUGCUUCUGUUGGUGUUUUCCACCAACAGGGCCCAUGCACUUGAUCUCUGCCUUGUCUCUAUGAGCAGGUACACUUCGAGCAAAAUAUGAAGGAGUUUCACAACUCCCAGACUCCACCAAGUGAAGAACUUAGAUCUACGAGCACAAACACACUGGAGAGACUGGACACUCAGGCAAUCACUGCCCUGAGAUGCUUAAGGACAUAACUACUGGAGUAACCCGUGGAAGUAAUUACUGACCUUCUACCGGUCAAGAGAGGUGAUCCAGGACGCACCGUCAUCCCGAUCUCCAUUGGCAUGGUGAACUUCCCAGAAGUACUCUGUGACUUUGGCUCCAGUGCCAACAUUAUGCCUAGGACUUCAUGGUGAUAGAGACUGAUACUGAUGAGAGGGCACCCAUCAUCCUAGGGAGGCCAUUUCUGAACACCUCGGGAGCUGUCAUCCACGCUAGUGCUGCCAAGAUCAGUGUCUACAUCAAGGGAAGGAAGGAGACGUUUACCUUCAAGAAUAAGACUGCACAAAUCCUAGAGCAAUCCCGACUUGAACCAAGGAAGAGGACCAACAGGAGGAACAGGACCAAGCAAAUGUGGACCGAGUCAGCUAAGAUGGUCACUACAGUUCAAGGAGGUCAAGAUCGUCGAUUCAAGUCACCUUUCUCGAUCAAGAAGGACGACCUUGGUGUUCCAAUCAUCAAGUGCACAAUCAACGGAUAUUCUUUUCAGAAGACACUCUACGACACCAGAUCUGACGUUAACAUAAUGGCCGCAGUCACUUAUCAGCUCCUAUGUGGAACCAUGCUCCUACAACCAACACACAUUCAGCUCCAAAUGAUUUUAAGGUUAUUGACAUGGGAGAAGACGAGUAAGAUCCAACCAUCAUCGUUAGGAGACCGUUUCUCAGCACUGUUAAAGCAAUCAUCUACAUUGGAACCGGAGAAGUCCACAUGCACUUCCUCUCUGAGAAGGUACGUCGUUGUUUUACUGACCCUAACUAUAUAGUUGAAGACUCUAACCAGGUCAGGACAAGAAAAAGACGACGCAACCGUAACCAGAGGAGGAAAAUCAUAAAGGGCGGAUGGGCAGACUACGAAGGAGAAGUGGUAAUGUCUGAAGACAUACAACUUGAACAGAACUGUCCUAAGGAGACCGUAGCAUCGAGUUAGGUGUGUAGAGAGGAGAAUGUUAUACACGAAGAGGAGGCGCCGCCGGAACCACCGACUACGCCAUCCAGCGAAUCCCAGGACGAUUGAGAAAACGGAGAGUCCCGUUCGGAGGACUUAAAAACAUCGAACGCCGUGCCAAGAGGUAAACUUGGUAAUUAUCCUUUUUCUUUCAAUUAUUUAAAAUAGUUUGCUUAGUAAUCAGGUUCAUGCUAUCUUAAAAAGAAAAUAAAAAUGUUAAAAAUAGUAAGCCCCAUGUGAGUAUGCUCAUGGCAUAAAACCAUAAGUACAUUCACUGUGGUGGCAUAAAUAUAAAAUAAAUAUAUUCCUGUCCUAUAAAAAUAAAAAUACAAAAAUAAAUUUAUGAUCCUACUAAAGAGAGUAACAUUUAUUAAGGAGGCUCAACAUGAUAAAGGCUAGAUAUUUAUGCUAACACUUAACCAGUUCCACAAAGCUUUGUUGUCUAUUUGAGCUCCACAGAAUUCAAGGAUCAAAGAAGACUAGCAGACGGAGGACAUCCUAAUCGCUAUCAGAGUGCUACCGACAUUCAAAUACACCUCCGCCGCCUGCUAGCUACAUCAGAAGAAAUUACGUCAAAAUCCAGCUUGGGGGAGAGCACCCCCAUUUAUCCAGCUAAGUGUUCUACUCAUGUUUAUAUUUUACUCAAAUAAUAAAAAGAUGCAUGAUCAUAAAAACCCAAAUAAAGAUUUUAUGCUUAUAUAUAUAUCUUUGCUUAGCUUGCUAAAUAAAUAAAUAAAUAAAGUUUGCUAUGAACGCUCAUGAUAAGCUCUCACAUGGAAAUGAUGAAUAGUUGCUCUACCAUGACUAGUUCUCAAAAUUGAAAUCUCUCUCAAGUUUAGGCAUCACUGUUAUGAAUUAAGAUUUGCUCUAAACCUGAACUUGUGGGGAGAGUACUUGAUCUAAAGUCCAAGUUGUUAACGGAUAUGAUAUGGGAAGGUUGAGUUGCUGUUUAUUUGUUCCUAGAGAUGCUAGAAUUUUGGAGAAUUUUAUCGUUGAAAAUCUUUAAAAUGUUGCAUGAUGAGUUCCUGUAUGAUGAGAGUUUAAAUUCCUACCACAGCCAUAUAUACAUGCUUGUUAGACUACGAACCACACAUUUACUUUUUACUGCUUAUGAGCAUUGAGUGUGGUAAAGCUGUGUAGACCCUUAGGAGCUUGUCAUGUGGUUAAAUCAAGAUUCACUUGCACGUUCACUCACACAUGCUACUUCUACUCUAAAAGUACCAUCCACAUAUAUCCAUAUCCAUCUCCAGAACCACCCAAAAAUAUUCUACUCCUAAUCCGGGAGAGAAUAGCCAAAAACAUUUCUGUUUUCCCCUGUGAAAUAAAUGCUCAAGUUAUCUUGUUACUACCACUUGCUAUAUUAUCUCAUGAGAUGAGUGCUCUAAAGAAAAAAAAAGAGAAAAAAAAGAAAGAAUACGAGGAAAUAAAAAGGGGCAAGUGCCCGGAACCUCGAAAGAAAAGAAAAAGUGAGACGAGAGGUAAAAAUGGACAAGUGUCCGACAGUAGAAUUAGGGGUACAAGAUACCCACCUGAGAGAAAAAAAAGAAAAAGAAAAUAUAGAGCAUCUCAUUCUCCUCAAAAAGUUUCAAAAGAGCAAGAAAGGUAUGUAUCCCCUCAAAAGAGCAAAAGUAGAAUUAGACUUUCACCAUUGUUAUCACCGUCAUACACCAUUCAUUCGCCACACAUGCACAUCUUGAUUUGACUUAUUGACUUGUUCUUCUGGAUCCAUGGUUUGACUAUGCAAUAAAUGUCUUGUAAGUAUGUAUUAGCUGUCUUCCACCUAUGAGCUCCAGAUAUCAAAACCUUAUUAGAGUAGGGUGAGAGAGAAGGCAACACCACUAUGCCUUAUUCCACAAAUACCACAUACUUUGAGAGAAGGCAUACACCAUUACUGCCUUGGUAAGGAUCCAGAAAUACCACAAAAGAGAGACUAGAGAGAGUCAUACAAGGAAUCUCUGAGUUUUAUUUGAAAAUCUGCAAAAAAAAAACUCCAGAGCUAUAGUUGAUCAAGAACAAGAGACAUGGUGCUUGACUAGACUGUUCUAUCUUUUAACUACUCAAGAUAGAAGUGACGGUUACAAGUCCCAUGGUGAAAGGUAAAUGAGUAAGUUUUAAGUCUUAACAGUUUACUCUAACCAGAGAUGAGAUCUUGUUUAAACGCAUGUGUAUCUUUAAGUUAUGAAACCACUGCAGAAACUCUUGAGUUCAUCUUUGCUCAGGGACGAGCAAAGGUUAAGCUUGGGGGAGCUUGUUGACGGUCCUUAAUGCUCAUAUUUAACCAUCAAUUAAUCAUAGAAAAGGAUCCAAAUGCAACCAACACCUAGACUUAGGGUUUUAUCUGACAGAAUUCCACAAGUUUUGGUGUUUGUCUAUUUCUGCAGGGGGUUAUCAGGAAAUAUGGAAGAAAGGCCCACACGUCGGGUUUACAUAGAGAUAUUAACGUGCCGCGCAAUUUUCUAUCAUCUAGAAGACUCCAGAAGCCACGGGACCGAAGCGGAAGUAGAGAGGCCUCAGGGACAGGGCGCCCGCCCUAGUCCUGAGGGCGCCCGCCCACCUCUUUCCACCAAUCAAGGUGAAGUUCGAGGAUCAUGCUCCACCGACCUAAUACUUCAAGGAAAACCACACGAUCAAUGUCGGUUUGAUCCGACGGCCCAGAUUCACUUGAAGGGACUAUAAAACCAGACCCCUCCUGGCCCCUGGAGAUCAUACCUCUUCUACAGAAUCAAAGCUAGGGUUUCAAUUCUUCAUCCAAGUAGAGAGGAUCCCUCUAGUUCUUCUAGUUCUACCUCUAGUUCAUCUAGAUCUAGUUCUAGUUCAUCUAGUUCUUGUUCUAGUUCAUCUAGUUCUAGUUCUAGUUAGUUCUAGUUGUAAUCUAGAAAAUAGGGAGAGAGAAGAGGAGAGCGGAGGAGGAGCCGGAUCUGUCGGAUCUUCCUCAACAUUGUACUUUUGCAGCAUCUGGUUCGUUCUUCAUCGUUCUCCAGGUUCUUCAAUUCAUAACUCCUGAGUUCUCUAAUUAUUUUUAUUUACAUUCAAGUUAUUUAUUGGAUUCCCGCUUGCAUCAAGUGCUCUAAUCUUUGAAACAUUAGAGUAGUAAUUAAUAGAUUAGACGUGGUGUUUAGUCUUGCAAUUACCUGGAAUUGCACCCAAUCCUACGGAUUGUUGUGGUAGCCCUAGGGUAGUGACAGCCCUAACGGUCGACGUAUUCCACCAUGUUCGGAUCGGUGUUUGUAGGACCGUAGUCAGACCUUCCUAGCCCCCUUCUCAUCUCUUUCCGUGGUUAGUGCUCUGAUGUCCCGAUAUAGAUAAUCUUAAAGUAAUUCUUGAUUCUUAGAUCAACUAGAGAACUCUCAGGAAACUUCCUCUCUUCCUACCAAAAAUAAUUAUAUAGUUAUCCUUGGGCGAUCUUGAAUCUUAAUUAGUACACUCACGUUCUCUGUGGAAAAUCGAUACUCUGGAAUACUCCCGGGUGAAGGCUACAUCGGUAUCCGUGCGCUUGUGGAUUUUUCUGUUUGCGUUUAAAAUACCCAACACACCUACGCGGCCUACCACACGAUCCAGCUAGACAGGGGAUAUCCACAAGUAAUCUAGGUCUAAGCACCUCGCUUACACCUAUAAUACAACUCUAACCUAUAGCGUCCUAUAGAUUAGAAGUACUCAGAAGAGUUGUGAACCAGAACAUACAUGAUUAGUAAUUGCAUAAUGAAUUAGAAGUAGAUUACCAGAGUCAUCCCAUGAGCAAGCUUGAGCUUGAUCAUGACGAAGUAUAACCGGAGGAAGAACCGACAGGCCGGCCUCUCCUCUAAUCCUCCUUCGCUCUCCAUCUCGCUACUAUCUAGAUCUACUCUAGUUUAGAGAAGAGAGGAGAGCUCUCAUCUCUAAACCCUAGCUUUUGCUCUGUCUAUGAAUAAUGAAUAAUGAUCAAGGGGUGCCUCCUCCAGGGGCCAGGAGGUCUGGUUAUAUAGUCUCCUCAAGUGAACCUGGGCCGUCGGAUCAAACCGACAUUGAUUGAACGGUUUUUCUUGAUCCUUUAGGUCGGUGGAGAUCUCCCGAGAGAAAGAGUCCUGAUUGGGCUCCAAGUCAGGCGGGCGCCCUGCCUCUGGCCCCGUUCGGCCUCCGCUUCCUUCCCGUGGCUUCAGGAGUCUUCUAGAUGUAAGAUAAUUGCACGGCACGUUAAUAUCUCUAUGUAAUCCUGACGUGUGGGCCUUUCUUCCGUAUUUCCUGAUAACCCCCUGCAGAAAUAGACAAACACCAAAACUCUUGGAAUUCUGUCAGAUAAAACCCUAAGUCUAGAUGUUGAUUUCAUUUGGAUCCUUUUCUUUGUUUAUUUGAUAAUUAAAUUUGAUACUUAAGGACCGUCAACAAACUCCCCCAAGCUUACCUCUUGCUCAUCCCUGAGCAAGGAUAGACUCAGCAAUGGAUCAGAAGUUGUUGCAAUAUCUUAAAAAUUUGACGGUACACAUGCUUUUAAAUAAGAUCUCAUCUCUGAGUUAGAGUAAACUGUCAAGAAUUUACAUACUUUACCUUUCACCAUGGGACUUGUAACCGUCGCUUCUGUCUUGAGAAGUUAAAAGAUAGAACAGUCUAGCCAAGUGCCAUGUCUCUUAUUCUUGAUCAGCUAUAGCUCUGGAGUUUUUGCAGAUUUUCAAAUAAAACUCAGAGAUUCCUUGUAUGACUCUCUAAAUCUCUCUUUUGUGGUAUUUCUGGAUCCUUACCAAGGCAGUGAUGGUAUAUGCCUUCUCUCAAGAUAUGUGGUAUUUGUGGUAUAAGGCAUAGUGACAUUGCCUUCUCUCUCACCCUACUCUAAUAAGGCUUUAAUAUCUGGAGCUCAUAGGUGGGAGAUAAAGUAUACAUACUUACAAGACAUGUAUUGCAUAGUCAAACCAUGGAUCCAAAGAAACAAAUCAAUAAGCCAAAUCAAGAUGUGCAUGUGUGGCGAAUGAAUGGUGUAUGGUGAUGAUGGUGAUAACAAUGGUGAAAGUCUAAUUCUACUUUUGCUCUUUUGAGGGGAUACACACCUUCCUUGCUUUUUGAAACUUUAUGAGGAGAAUGAGAUGCUCUUCUUUUUCUUUCCUCGGAGGUGGGUAUCUUGUACCUCUAGUUCUACUGUCGGACACUUGUCCAUUUUUACCUCUCGUCUCACUUUUUCUUUCUUUCGAGGUUCCGGGCACUUGCCCCUUUUUAUUUCCUCAUUUAUUUUAUUUUUUUUCUUUUCUUCUCUUUUCUCUUUUUUUCAGAGCACUCAUCUCUUGAGAUAAUAUAGCAAGUGGUAGUAGCAAGAUAACUUGAGCAUUUAUUUCACAAGGGAAAACAGAAAUAUUUUUGGCUAUUCUCUCCCGGAUUAGGAGUAGAAUAUUUUUGGGUGAUUCUGGAGAUGGACAUGGAUGGAUAUAUGUGGAUGGUACUUCCGGAGUAGAAGUAGCAUAUGUGAGUGAACGUGCAAUUGAAUCUUGAUUUAACCACAUGACAAGCUCCUAAGGGUCUACACGGCUUGACCACACUCAAUGCUCAUAAGCAGUAAAUAGUAAAUGUCUGGCUCAAAGUCUAGCAAGCAUGUAUAUAUGGCUGUGGUAGGAAUUUAAACUCUCAUCAUACAGGAACUCAUCAUGCAAUAUUUUAAAGAUUUUUCAAAGAUAAAAUUCUCCAGAAUUCUAGCAUCUCUAGGAACAGAUAAACAGCAGCUCAACCUUCCCAUAUCAUAUCCGUUAACAACUUAGAUUUCAGAUCAAGUUUUCAUCCCACAAGUUUAGAUCUAGAGCAAGCUUUAAAUUAUAACAGUUAUGUCUAAACUUGAGAGAGAACUUCAAAUUUUUAAAUUAGGUAGGGCAACUAUUCAUCAUAUCUAUGCUAGAGUUUUAUUAUUAAGAUUCAGAUUAGCAUAGCCACUUUAUUUAUUUAUUAAACACACUAAGCAAAAGAUAUAUAUAUAAGCACAAAAUCUUUAUUUGGUUUUUCAUAGUUUAUGUAUUUUAAUAUUCUAACAUAAUAUAAGAUAGGUAGAAAUACUUAGCGAGCUAAAUGGGGGUGCUCUCCCCCAAGCUGAAUUUUGAUGUAAUUUCUCUUGAUGUAGCUAGCAGGUGGCAGAGGUGUAUUUGAAAGUCAGCAGCAUUCUGAUAGCGAUUAGAAUGUCCUUCGUCUGCUAGUCUUCUUGAUUCUUAAAUUCUGUGGAGCUCAAAUAGACAACAAAGCUUGUGGAACUAAUUAAGUGUUAGCAUAAAUAUCUAGCCUUCAUCAUGUUGAGCUUCCUCAAUAAAUAUUACUCCCUAUUUUUAUAUUUUUAAUUUAUAAAGCAGAAAAGAAAUAUUUAUUUUAUUUUUAUGCCACCACAGUGAAGGUACUUAUGGGUUUUAUGUCACUCGUAUACUCACAUGGGGCUUGGUAUUUUAUAACAUUUUUAUUUUCUUUUCAAGAUAGCAUGAUUAACUAAUAAUCUAUUUAAGGAAAGUAAAUAAUUAAAGGGAAAAGGGAAUGCAGAAAGGAUAAAUAUGGAUAACUACCGAUCUUACCUUUCGGCGAGGGUUCAAUGUUUUAAGUCUUCUUAACAAGACUUCUCACCGUGUUCAUUCUUCAGGUGCGUCAUUUGAUUCAGGUGCGGACCUUGACGUCUGCACCUCUUCGUUUGCCCAGCAGUUCGAAGUGCGGCGUUGGCAGUAUCCUGCUCAGUGUGUUUGUGCUCGUAGAUCCAGGUCCUUCACUUGGUAGAGUCUGAGAGUUAUAAAACUCCUCCGUGUUUUGCUCGAAGUGUACCUGCUCAUAGAGACAAGGCAGAGAUCAAGUGCAUGAGUCCUGUUGGUGGAAAACACCAACAGAACCUAAAGUGUAUUUGUUCUUCUCUAACCCUAAGCAUAGUGAGCAAGACAAAGUUGAUGCAUGAAAAGUUCAUGAGUGUAGCACUUAUAACAUUUGUCAGAUCAGAUCGCUCAACCUUAUGGAAAGAUAAUCUAUCUAUGUAUAUGUCUUUUUCUUUAUAUCUCUCAAUGAUUGAAUGUGUAACAUUUUAGCUCAUAUGAUUAGGAGUGUGGGAUCAUGGAGGUAGUACUAAGAACAAGGAUUAAAGGACUAAACAUGUUGAAUCAGUUGGGUUGGUUAAUCUAGAGUUGUAAAAUCAUACAUGUUUGUCUCUUUUAUUUAUAUGAACGCUAGAACCAAGGAGAAGCUUAUAAAAGUGAUAGUCAAGUACCUUAAGAUGUUACCUUGCUUGAAGAGUGAUUGUACAGUAUCACCUUGUGGAAGCUUUCCUUUCUUAGCGGUUGUGCAUCGUGUUUGUGGCACCCUCCAUGGAUCAUCUCUCUAUGAUGAAUGAGCUAAUGUCUUCUUGGUGCAAUUGUUAAACUUCAUGUGUCACUCUCUUCGUCUCUGAUGUGAGUUUAUCUCAGGACUUCCCAAAUCGAUAUGAAAAGUUUUUCUGCAGGGGUUAGUCCGACAAAAAUAUACCAAUGUCUACACAAGCAGUUUUUAGUUCAAUAACCGAACUUAGACUCCAUGUCUAAUCAGAUUAAGGAAGGCUGUUUAACCUAAGGAUCAUGCUUAAUUUAAAAGCCAAUAGAAGUAUGUGCAGUACUUCCAAACUAACACUUACUAGUAAAUAGACAAAGGUAACAUGACAGCAUUUAUAGAGAUCUACUUAAGUGGAGAUGAAGUAGUGUGAUUAGUAUUUAACAAAUUGAGCAUGUCUUAAAGGUAGGGACAACCAACAUAGCAACAUGGCAAAGGAUGUUUUUAUGUAAAGUACUCCCCCAAGCUUGAAUUUUGCAGAAUUCAAGUCUGGAUGAAUUUAAUUCAGUGUUGCGUGAUGAUUGGUUGGACAUACCUUGUACUUGCUUGUCAUUCAUCUGAUCUUCUUGUUCCAAUCCUGGAAAGGUUAGUGACAAGAAUACCCGAAGGAAUAUUUUUACAAUUAUCCUUAUAUGCUCAAUACACAAGGUAAUGUUGCAAAUAAUUAAAAACUCAUGUUAUGAUUUGAUCAGUGCUUAUUUUAGGACACCAAGCUUGUCCUUGGGAAACCAUCAAUUUAUGUCGGCGAAGUGGUUUCCCUUCCAAUGCUGACCUAAAUCAAGAUCAACUCAACAAGAUCUGCAAUAUUUAUUAUAGACAUGUGAAUCGACAACUGCCCUUUUAAAGUUUUUAUAAAUAGAAAGGAAGAGGGGGUUGGAGAUCUCAAAUGUGGUGAUGUUGGAGAGACCAAUAGAUUGGGAAGAUGUUGCAUAUGAGCAUAGAGUAAACAAAGUGGCUAUGAAAUAAAUUCCAUGCUCAUUAAUGUUAUCUUCGUCUCCAAUCUGAAUAUUUGGAGUUUCUCCUGGAUUGGUCUCACUUAUGUCCUCUUCUAUAGUUGGAUGAAUCCCAUCUUCAAAGGGAGUCAAGAACUCACCAUUAUAAAUUGAACCAAAGUCAGAAUUCAUUAAGGCUUCUUCCUCAUCCAUCCAUUCUACACAUUCUAGCCAUUUAGAACUUGUGAUCAGGAAAGGGGAGGUGUUAGAAUUUUCAAUAUGGCUUAGCUCUCCUUCACUUGAUAUGUCAUCCUCGACUUCUUCAUAACAGGAACCACGACAUUCUCUAAGAGAACCAUUAUUGCGAGGAUUUGAAUUAUCCCUGCUUGAAGGUCUUUUAUGGAACCAGAAGUCUAAACCAUCAGCAUCUGAAAGAUUUAAGGUCGGAAUUCCUUCCUCCCUUGGAGAAUUUUGGGGUAUUGAUGGUUUAGGAUCGAUAGCUAAAGUUUGGAAUUGAAGUGAUUGUGAUCUGGCUAUCGAAACUUCUUCUUCUUGUCUAGGAACUGGUUCUGUCUCUUUCUCAGGGAUAUAAAAGUUAGGAGACUUUCCACUUAAUAAAUUAAUCAAAAUCCAAGCUUCACUAGUCGGUAGGUGAUAGAAGGAUCCUCUAGAGGCUGUAUUCAAGGUUUGCUUAUUUUCCCCACUAAGGCCCUCAAAAAAGUGAAUUAGAAGAACUUCUUCUGGAAUAGAAAGCUUUGGGCCAGUGAGAGUAAGGUUAAUAAAGCGGUCCCAUGAUUUCCUAAGAGAUUCUUCUUCCAGUUGUCUAAAAUAAAUAAUCUCACGCCGAAGUUCCGCCACUUUGGAGAUUGGAAAAUAUUUAGAAAGAAAACUACUAUAUAACUCCUUCCAAUCUCCAUGAACACUCCCUAUUUUGAGUUUGUACCAAUGUCUAGCUUUUCCCGUUAAAGAGAACGGAAAGAGCUUCCAUUUGAAGGUUGUUGACGGUAUUUAUACCAUGUUUUCUACUAUCAUAACCGUCAACAUAAGACUCAUUUUGGGAGAAAACAACCAAACAAAGUAGUAAUAUAGGUACAUAUAACCUAGUUCCACAUGUACAUGCUACUAUUUGGUUGCAGGAGUAAGAACAGGUACUUUUCAAGGGUCCAAACACUAAGAAGGGGUGAAUAACUAAAGAUCAGUGACACCAGUAACCAAGACAACAUUAUAGUCAUGAAGAGGAAGACAUGUAGGACAGGGCUGACACCCUAACCCCAUAGAAUUGGGGUCGGGCGACCCCACUUUGGUGGGUCCCACAGGUCAGCUCAACUCCACCGACAUCAGAGAGCGUCCAGGACACUGCAGGUGGGCCCAACCAGCCAGAUAGGGGGUCGGCCGACCCCACUUCAUGGCGGUUCCAGGGUCGGUUGGCCUCCCACCGACCUUGCCCACAUGUUGCACAUGUUAGUUUGCCUCUACCGUUGAUCAGAUGGCGGUUGUGAAGUCGGUUUGAUCCAAUGGUGCAUGAUGAAGAUGACGCGGAUCGCUGACGUGGCACCGGAGUAGCCCCUACUCCAUCUCCCACUAUAAAUACCCCCCUAUUCCUUCACUUAAGAGUCAUGUAUCUUAGGAGUAAACUACUUUAGUAGCUUAGUGCUAUCAUAGUGAGUAGAGAGUGAGGAGUUCCAAGGAGGAGUCCUGGCCUGUCGGGAGUCUUCUUCGCGGAGCACCUCAGCGGAAGCAGGUCUUCUUGUAAGUCUUACUUCUGAGUCUUUUCUAGUAUUUAAUAUUUGGUCUGGUACUUUAAGUAUAAGAAUCCUUUACUGGCACAUUGCUUGAUCUUGAGUGCUCUUAGCUUUAGCUAAGCUUAGGGUAGCAAGAGCUAGUUUAGACGUGGUGUCUAGACUACUUCUUGCCAGUGUGGACUCCUUGUCGCAGUUGUGUAGACACCUAGUGUGAGAGUGACAGUCCUCGCUAGGCGGAAAGCUCCUCGCAUCUGUUGUAGGCAAGUUGCAAAUAAUAGUUGGGCUGAGCAGGGUAGUCGCUUAGGAGACGGGGAGGUGAAAAACCUCAUUAACUCAAUCCUCCUUUUCGGGUAUCGCCCUCAGUAAAGAGUUAGGUGAAAAACAUUGACUAUACUUAAUUACCAAGACCAGGCAUUAAUACUAGUUAGACCUCUCUACCCCAUUAUCCUAGACCCUUUGAUCAUCACCUAACGAUCUAAAGCCUAGUUAAUUCACUUCGCGUUCCCCGUGGAAAUCACGAUACCUGGAAUACUCCCGGUGAAGGCUACAUUGACUACCGUACGCUUGCGGUAUAACCGUUUGCCACUUCUGGUGUCAACAAGCUUUCUGGCGCCGUUGCCGGGGAACGGUAGCUGUUUUAACUAGGACAAAAAAAUCGUUAAGUUAUCUUUGUUUGAUUUAAAACUUUAUACACAUAUCCAAAUGGAUCAAACAACCCUCUUCGAUUACGCUGCUCCAACGGGCGCUGAGUUGGAGCCAGCGAGUUCAUCAAAAGCCAUUUUGGCCUGUCACUAUGAGCUUCGCCCGAGUCUCGUAGCGAUGGUUCAGGAGAAUCCCUUUUCGGGAGAAGGAGAUGAAAAUCCUUACACACACCUACGAGAUUUCGAACAACUUUGUUCAUGCAUCCACAUCCAAGGGAUGAGGCGAGUUACCCUCAAGUGGAAGCUCUUUCCGUUCUCUUUGACAGGAAAGGCCAGACGGUGGUACACUCGCUAUGCAGGUAGUGUAGGAGGAGAAUGGGAAAAGCUACAAGCCAAAUUCUGCCUCACCUACUUUCCCAUCUCUAGAAUAGCUCGUCUCCGUAGAGAAGUCCUAGACUUCAAGCAAGAAGGGAAGGAGUCUCUAGGUGCGGCCUGGGCGCGUCCCACCGACUUAACAUCAUCUGGCCCAGACUUAGGUAUAACCGAGCCAAUUCUUAUGCAACAUUUUUACAUCGGACUUAGCCAACAAUUCGCACAAUUCCUUGAUUUAGCCUCCAAGGGAGCAUUCCUUCAUUUACCUAUCAGUGAAGGUAAGGCCAUUCUUGGGACUAUUCUCGAGAAUACCCCUUACACUGAUGAUCAUAUUGAAGCUCCUGAGGAAGAUCGAACUCCUAGGGAUGAACCUUCGACAGCCAAAACUCCUUUAGCCGCAACCCAAGCUGUCGAACCUGAACCAAUACCACAAGCACCUCCAAGGGAAGAAGUAAUUCAUCCCUUGGAUUACCCACUUAACAUCGAGACUGAUCUAUUUGCCGAUUUUGGCAAUGUCUCGAAUCAACCUGUGCAAAGGAGAUCUACAGCACGCAAAGCUCCGAAUAGCCAUAUCCCAGCUCAUCUUGAGGCUGGUUACCUCAGGGCAACUGCCCAAGAACUCACGGCUAUUAUGAGUAAUGAAUGGGUUAGAGAAGCUGAGACAUCAUCUGAUGUCAUCAAACUUCUUUCGAGUUUUACACCCAUUCCCUGUGUCAUAAACUCCACUCCUAUAGAAUCCCUUUAUGACCCUGCUGUAGGAGUAAGCCUAAUGUCCAAAUCAUUAGUACUGACACUCCUAGGCGAGGAACCAUUAACCCCGACCAGCAAAUUUCUUAAAUUACCCUCUGGGGAAAUGGUCGAGAGUUGUGGGAUUGCGCAGAAUAUUCCUGUCUCCAUUAACAAAGUCAACAUUCUGCUAAACUUCUUUAUCUUUGAUAUGAAAGAAGUUGACUUGUUAAUCGGGCACCCCAUCAUGAGGUUCCUAAAUGGAUUUCAUGAAGGGCGUUUCAAGGGUAACCUCGGGAAGGGCUUAGACCUUUCUAUGCCUUUUGCCGGCUCUAUUAAUUCUAAAGCCGAGACCCCGCCUGAGCCUGACCCAAUAGAGGAGGUGAUAUCGGCAUCUCUUCUGGACACUUCUCAGCCUGACUUAGAAGAAGACGCCGAAAACUUCAUCCAAGAAGAAGAGAACAAAUUAGAAGAACCAUUAGACUUGGAUGAAUCUAAACCACCACCAAAGCCCUCUAUAGAACUUAAGCCACUUCCCUCUGGACUUAAGUACGCCUUCCUUAAUGGUGAUAGAGAGACUCCGGUAAUCAUUAGUGAUCAACUGACAGAGGAAGAAGUCACCAAACUCAUCACCGUCUUAGAAGAACGCCGCUCUGUCUUAGGAUACUCGUUAGAAGACCUUAAGGGAAUUAGUCCUGCACUCUGCACUCAUCGCAUCCCUAUUGAACCCGAUGCUAUACCUUCCAGGGAGCCUCAGAGAUGGCUAAAUAAUGCGAUGAGAGAAGUUGUGAAGAAAGAGGUCUUAAAACUAUUGCAUGCGGGCAUAAUCUACCCUGUUCCGAACAGUGAGUGGGUCAGCCCCGUUCAAGUAGUUCCUAAGAAAGGAGGAAUGACGGUCGUUAAAAAUGACAACAAUGAACUCAUUCCUCAACGGACCGUCACGGGAUGGAGAAUGUGCAUAGACUACCGAAAACUUAACAAGGCCACUAAGAAAGACCACUUUCCGUUGCCAUUCAUCGAUGAGAUGCUGGAACGGUUAGCCAAACACUCUUUCUUCUGCUUCCUUGAUGGGUAUUCGGGUUACCAUCAAAUCCCAAUCCAUCCCGACGACCAAAGUAAGACUACAUUCACAUGCCCCUACGGAACAUAUGCAUAUAGGCGCAUGUCUUUUGGCCUAUGCAAUGCUCCUGCCUCUUUUCAAAGGUGCAUGAUGUCCAUCUUCUCCGAUAUGAUCGAGGAAAUCAUGGAAGUUUUCAUGGACGACUUCUCCGUCUAUGGGAAAACUUUUGAUGAUUGCCUAAAGAACCUGGACCGAGUCUUACAAAGGUGCCAAGAGAAGCACUUGAUCUUGAACUGGGAAAAGUGCCAUUUUAUGGUUCGAGAAGGGAUAGUGUUAGGACAUAGAGUGUCCGAACGUGGGAUAGAGGUAGAUAGAGCUAAAAUUGAAGUUAUAGAACAGCUCCCUCCUCCCACAAAUGUUAGGGGCGUCCGUAGCUUUCUUGGCCAUGCAGGCUUUUAUAGAAGGUUCAUACAAGAUUUCUCUCAAAUUGCUAGACCUUUAACAAACCUGUUAGCUAAGGAUGCACCCUUUGAUUUUAAUGAUGAGUGCUUGGAUUCCUUUUACUAUCUUAAGAAAGCACUUAUCUCUGCACCAAUCAUUCAACCCCCUGAUUGGUCGCUACCUUUUGAGAUAAUGUGUGAUGCUAGUGAUUACGCUGUAGGUGCUGUCUUAGGACAGACUAAAGAUAAGAAGCAUCAUGCAAUAUCUUAUGCUAGCAAAACACUAACAGGACCACAGCUGAAUUAUGCAACAACUGAAAAAGAACUGUUGGCUGUAGUGUUUGCUAUAGACAAGUUUAGAUCUUAUUUAGUUGGAGCAAAGGUGAUUGUUUACUCUGAUCACGCAGCUCUAAAAUACUUGCUCACUAAAAAAGAUGCUAAACCAAGAUUAAUAAGAUGGAUCCUACUACUCCAAGAAUUUGACUUAGAAAUUAGAGAUAAAAAGGGAGUAGAAAACUCGGUAGCCGAUCACUUGUCUAGGAUGCAAAUCGAGGAUAAACAGGAUCCACCUAUCAACGACUACCUUCGAGACGACACACUCCUCCGAGUUUCAGAAGCCUACCCAUGGUAUGCAAACAUAGUCAACUACCUGGCGUCCGGAUACAUACCACCUGGGGUAGACAAGAAGAAGCUUGUUAAAGAGAGUAGGGUGCACCUAUGGGACGAUCCUUACCUCUACAGAGUCUGUCAAGAUGGCAUACUCAGGAGAUGUGUUCCCAUGGACGAGGCAGUAAAAAUAAUGGAAAAAUGCCAUGGGGCAGAGUACGGAGGCCACUAUGGAGCAUUCAGGACCCAUGCCAAGAUAUGGCAGAGUGGAUUCUACUGGCCUACCAUGUACGAAGAUACAAAGAACUUCGUGAGGAGAUGUGCAAGGUGUCAGAAGCAUGGGAUCAUCAAUACUCGUGAUGCAAUGCCACUCACAAACAACUUACAAGUCGAGAUAUUCGAUGCUUGGGGCAUAGACUACAUGGGGCCAUUCCCUUUGUCACAAGGGUGUGAGUACAUCCUAGUGGCAGUAGACUAUGUGUCCAAGUGGGUCGAAGCAAUGCCCUGCAGAGCAGCCGACUCUACACAUUCGAUAAAGAUGUUCAAGGAAGUCAUAUUUCCACGCUUCGGCACCCCCAGACUAGUUAUCAGUGAUGGAGGGAGCCACUUCAUUGACAGAAGAUUCCGACGGUUCUUAGCUGAAGUGGGGAUAAGGCACAACAUUGGAACACCCUAUCACCCUCAAACGAGCGGACAAGCAGAAACAUCUAACAAACAAAUCAAGAACAUUCUGCAGAAGACUGUCACUAAGAUGGGAACCGGCUGGAAAAGCCAUCUACCAGAUGCACUUUGGGCAUACAGGACCGCAUACAAGACCCCAAUUGGUAUGACACCAUACCAACUUGUAUACGGUAAGACAUGCCAUCUACCGGUAGAGCUAGAGCAUAGAGCUCACUGGGCAAUCAAGAAAUGGAACAUGGAUUUGCCCUCGGCCGGAAGAAAUAGAAAGCUCCAAAUCUCCGAACUAGAAGAAUGGAGAGAUAAAGCCUAUCACAAUGCCAGGAUCUACAAAGAGAGAACAAAAAGAUGGCAUGAUAAAAGGAUCAAGCAAAAGGAAUUUCAUCCUGGGGAUAAGGUUCUCAUGUUCAACUCAAGGGUCAAGUUAUUUGGCCAUGGAAAGCUAAGGAGCAAAUGGGAAGGACCAUUCUUCGUUGUUGACGCCGCGACUCAUGGAGCGGUAACACUGCGGGACGACGACGGCAACAUCUUUAAGGUAAAUGGUCAUCGUCUUAAAGUUUUCCAUGAACAUGAACCUUUAGAAAAAGAAGUUGAUAUGAUAGAAUUUGAAUCUGACAUAAAGUCUUAAAAUCCACAUGUCCUUCUUUUUACCUCCUUUUGUUAAAAAAAAAAUUUUGCUAAACCAAUAUAUUUAGUUCCUUUUGUUUGGAAAUAGGUUUUAAAAGGGUUUUAGAUGAUGUAGGAUCGAAGUUGGGCCGCCGAACACCCCAAAUGGGGGUCGGCCGACCCCUCUUCUAGGGGUUUUGGCCCAAGGCGGAAUAGGUUUAGAAAGAGGGGAAUGAAUAGAGUUCGGUGGUGAAAUUCAAAAUCCUGAAAUAUAGGGGUCGCCCGACCCCCAAUAUUUUGAGUUUUGAAAUCCCCUGGAGUCUCGGAUCGUCCCUCAAACGUUCCACGACGCUCCUUUUCAAAAUUCAAACUCUCAGGCUCCAAACACAUCUAUUUAUCCCCCCUCUUCUUCUUCUUCCUCCUCUCAAUUCAUUCCUUCUCAUCUUCACCUCGAACCAGACUCUCCUAGCCUCCAUUCCUUGCCAAGAGAUCCAUCUCCAUGGCUCCUCCAACUAAAUCUUCCAACCAAGCCAUUCGCUCCAACUCCCCACGUCCGCAAAGGUCUCUAACUGAGAGCCUGGAGUUUGCCCUAGCCGUCAACGUGCUGGAGCCUGAACCACUAGCCAUGGUGCCGCCGGCUGGAGGGCCGACGGGCCCCAUGUGGGGGUCGCCCGACCCCAAGAGGGGUCGCCCGACCUCGCCCCGGGUGACCCAGCGCUCCGCGUCGGCCUCUCGUUCGCUCACACCGUGCAGGGGCAUCGGCAAGUCCCCUGCUCGAGCCGUAACGCCGGUUCGACCUACCACGGGCCAACUUGCGCUACGGGAGAAGGCGCCGAUGGCCACCAAGCAGGCCAUCACCAUCUCAUCCGACACGAUCCACACCUCUUCCUACUCGCCGUCCACCCCAACCUUUUGGAGGAACCACCAAGUGGUGGGCGGUGGGCCGGGAAAGGGGAAGGUGCUGAUCCCGCCGUUGAACUCUAAGGAAAAGAUGGAGUUGCGAGAGUCCUUUGACUCGUCAGCAAGUCCAUCCAUCCGGCGGAAGAUGGAUCCACCUCCGAUCAACGGUGCGCCUGGCAAAUACGAAGAAGAUCCAGAAAAAGGCGACAUCGAGAAGCUCCUGGAAGUCACAGCUAGCCUUAGAAAGAAAAAUAGGAUCUUAGAGGAGACAGUGUCGGAGCUCAGGAUGGAGAAUCUUGAGUUAGAAGAUCACUUCCGCCACCUGCGCAUUAGCACCAGCGCUAAAAUCAAGCGUUUGGCACAAGCAAUUGGGCGGGAGGAUCUCCUCAAACCUCCAUCUCCCUAAAUAAAUUAGUUAGUUUAGGUUAUAGGCACUAUUUGAUUAUUUAGGUUUGAUUACUCAAUUUUAUUUUCCAAUUUGUCACUUUGAAUUUCACAAUGUAAAAGUGCCUAUACAAUUGAAAUUUGAUUUAAUAGAGUUGUUUUUGGUCCUGCUGGUGUGUUGCCACCAGCAGGACGUCUGCAUUUGAUCAUCUCUCUCUGUUGUAAGUUCAGCUGCACGAAAACCGCAAGUGUGGGGGGGUCGCCCGACCCCCCAACUUCAUCUCUGAACUGCCGUGAGCAUGGAACAACACUGCAUACACCUCGGCACGUCAUGGCACCAAAAACAGGCGCGAUGAGGGGGUCGCCCGACCCCCUUUCUAUGGCAAAAGGAAACGACACAAGUGCAGAAAGACUUCCCGAGGGACGUAGAAUCGAGUGGCAGGGCCAGGAACCUCCAGGUGGGGUCGGCCGACCCUUCCAUGGAGCCCUGGGCCCACCAGGAAGCUUCUAUACGACGAAACACAUCUUUCCUGCCCGGUUUGCUAACUCUUCCCCCUCUCAGUCUGUCCAAUUCUUUACCAUUGUGUCACAAUUAAAAUAAAAUUUGAUAGUUUAAACUUGUUUGCAAAAUAAAAAGUGAACUGGUUCAUGAUUUAAGAGAAAUUGUGACAUAAAGUAUAGUUCUUACAAUUGUUCAUCCUCAUGGGUAAAAAUCUAUAGGAACCAUAUUGACUAAGUUGUUGAUGAAAGUGAUAUAACUCUUGGCUAAGAAUUCAUAACACUUCUAUUCAAGGUACUUAGAGAUUUGUUUCAAAAAUAUCACAAAACCAUAGUAUCAUUUACUCCUCAUUAGCAAGAAAUUCCCACCAAAAGCCAUACACUUAGAUAUUCAAGUAACCAUUUUAUGAAAUGCAACCUGCUUUUGUAAUGAGUUUUGUCAAAACCUUGUUGACCCUAGUGAGAGUUGUAUCAUAGUCACAAGAUCAAGAUCACGUACACACCACAUAUAUAUAUGCUGCUUCUACACUGGAAGUACACAACCACAUGUAUUGUGCAUCCACUAAAUAGGUUGCUCCAUACUCUAAGUGUUAGAACACCUCUCUAAAUAUUGUUUAGAAAAUGAGACAUAAAAGGCUUGGCAAAAUAAAAGAAAAAGAAAAAAUGGACAUGUGCAAGUCCAUGAAGUAUUUAAAAAAAAAAAUUUGAGCACAUAAAGCUCGAAGAAAAAGAAAAUCUAGCCAUGUCUCAAUAUACAAGUAGAGAGAGUGUAGCAAAUAAAGGAGCAACCUAGUCCACCAUAUAACACACUUGCACAUAUUGAUCUAUGACUAUGACACUCCUCUCUUUGGAUCCUUGUUUUUGACUUAACCAUAUUUGCAAAGUAGAGUAUGCUACCUUGUUUAUCCCUACCAAGCCCCAUAUAAGCCUAUAGUUAUAGGAUGAAACAAGUUGGCAUUCAUGCCUUGGCGAGGACUACUAAAAAAAAAACUUUGAGUGAUCUAGAGCGCUAAAUGAGGAGUAGGAUUGAACUAUGUGACUUAUUUUAAAAAGUGUCAUAAAAACUCUAAGUACCAAGAAUAUGAAAUUGGAAUUUGAUCUUGUUCUGAGAGUUGUUCCUUUUCUCAACCUCUGAAGGAUAUAUGCUAGACACUUACACAAAAACCCAUUUGGAUGAACUAUGUUCGAACUAGCAUUUUAUGCUCACUACUAUCUUAAGUUAGAAACCAUUGAUCACUCAUUUUUAACCUUUACUCGAGGACGAGCAAAGACUCAAGUGUGGGGGGUCUUGUUGACGGUAUUUAUACCAUGUUUUCUACUAUCAUAACCGUCAACAUAAGACUCAUUUUGGGAGAAAACAACCAAACAAAGUAGUAAUAUAGGUACAUAUAACCUAGUUCCACAUGUACAUGCUACUAUUUGGUUGCAGGAGUAAGAACAGGUACUUUUCAAGGGUCCAAACACUAAGAAGGGGUGAAUAACUAAAGAUCAGUGACACCAGUAACCAAGACAACAUUAUAGUCAUGAAGAGGAAGACAUGUAGGACAGGGCUGACACCCUAACCCCAUAGAAUUGGGGUCGGGCGACCCCACUUUGGUGGGUCCCACAGGUCAGCUCAACUCCACCGACAUCAGAGAGCCUCCAGGACACUGCAGGUGGGCCCAACCAGCCAGAUAGGGGGUCGGCCGACCCCACUUCAUGGCGGUUCCAGGGUCGGUUGGCCUCCCACCGACCUUGCCCACUGUUGCACAUGUUAGUUUGCCUCUACCGUUGAUCAGAUGGCGGUUGUGAAGUCGGUUUGAUCCAAUGGUGCAUGAUGAAGAUGACGCGGAUCGCUGACGUGGCACCGGAGUAGCCCCUACUCCAUCUCCCACUAUAAAUACCCCCCUAUUCCUUCACUUAAGAGUCAUGUAUCUUAGGAGUAAACUACUUUAGUAGCUUAGUGCUAUCAUAGUGAGUAGAGAGUGAGGAGUUCCAAGGAGGAGUCCCGGCCUGUCGGGAGUCUUCUUCGCGGAGCACCUCAGCGGAAGCAGGUCUUCUUGUAAGUCUUACUUCUGAGUCUUUUCUAGUAUUUAAUAUUUGGUCUGGUACUUUAAGUAUAAGAAUCCUUUACUGGCACAUUGCUUGAUCUUGAGUGCUCUUAGCUUUAGCUAAGCUUAGGGUAGCAAGAGCUAGUUUAGACGUGGUGUCUAGACUACUUCUUGCCAGUGUGGACUCCUUGUCGCAGUUGUGUAGACACCUAGUGUGAGAGUGACAGUCCUCGCUAGGCGGAAAGCUCCUCGCAUCUGUUGUAGGCAAGUUGCAAAUAAUAGUUGGGCUGAGUAGGGUAGUCGCUUAGGAGACGGGGAGGUGAAAAACCUCGUUAACUCAAUCCUCCUUUUCGGGUAUCGCCCUCAGUAAAGAGUUAGGUGAAAAACCUUGACUAUACUUAAUUACCAAGACCAGGCAUUAAUACUAGUUAGACCUCUCUACCCCAUUAUCCUAGACCCUUUGAUCAUCACCUAACGAUCUAAAGCCUAGUUAAUUCACUUCGCGUUCCCCGUGGAAAUCACGAUACCUGGAAUACUCCCGGUGAAGGCUACAUUGACUACCGUACGCUUGCGGUAUAACCGUUUGCCACUUCUGGUGUCAACAAAGGUCUCAUCAGACAUUCCUUCUAUGCGAAGGAGGUCACAGACUCGAUAAAACCCUCUUAGGUGUGUGUAUGGGUUUUCCUCACCUUCUCCUGAGAAAGGUUGUUUUUGAACAAAUUCUAUGUAUUCGGGGUCUAUCUCAAAACUAGAUGCUAUGAUAGGCUUUGAAGAUUUUGGUGGUUCGAGAUGUGUGCCCGUAGGUCUAUGAAAUUCAUAGAGAGACAUGUUUGAAUUCAUGACAGACUAGAGAUCAAGGAUUAAAUAAGAAGAAAGAAUAGCAGAGAUGAGGCAAAGGAUAAAAGGAAAUAUAUAUAUAUAUUUUUUAUUUUUUUUUUAGAAAAUGAUUAAGCUAGUUCGUAGUCAACUAAGCAACCGUUGAAGAUUUUACCCGGUUAAAGGUUUUAUCGUAUCCACAGGGAGACGGGUGAACUGAUCUACGCUCUAACUUAACCAAGAUAAGUAAAUAGGUGUAAAUAGGAAAGAUGGUAGAAUCGAAUAAGAACAAUAUUAAAGGUAAGAUAACAGUGAGUGAGAAUAUGGGAAUAGAGAAUAGAGCAAUUCUAGUAUAUCGGCAAUGGUAGCAGAAUAGAGAGGAUAACUAUGGUUUCUCUACUUCAAAGGGGUAUGUCUAUGUCUGGGGCGAACCACAUGAUAAGAUUACACCACAAAGGAUGCUUAUCCAUAGGCCGAUAAAGCCUACCCGUCCUGCUAACGAGAGGUGGACUACAGAGAACCAACGUAACUAUCACCUACGCGGCCUACCACACGAUCCAGCUAGACACGGGAUAUCCACAAGUAAUCUAGGUCUAAGCACCUCGCUUACACCUAUACUACAACUCUAACCUAUAGCGUCCUAUAGAUUAGAAGUACUCAAAAGAGUUGUGAACCAGAACAUACAUGAUUAGUAAUUGCAUAAUGAAUUAGAAGUAGAUUACCAGAGUCAUCCCAUGAGCAAGCUUGAUUAGAGCUUGAUUAUGACGAAGUAUAACCGGAGGAAGAACCGACAGGCCGUCCUCUCCUCUAAUCCUCCUUCUCUCUCCAUCUCGCUACUAUCUAGAUCUACUCUAGUUUAGAGAAGAGAGGAGAGCUCUCAUCUCUAAACCCUAGCUUUUGCUCUGUCUAUGAAUAAUGAUCAAGGGGUGCCUCCUCCAGGGGCCAGGGGGUCUGGUUAUAUAGUCCCCUCAAGUGAACCUGGGCCGUCGGAUCAAACCAACAUUGAUUGAACAGUUAUUCUUAAUCCUUUAGGUCGGUGGAGACCUCCCGAGAGAAAGAGUACUGAUUGGGCUCCAAGUCAGGGCGGGCGCCCAGGGCAGGAGGGCGGGCGCCCUGCCUCUGGCCCCGUUCGGCCUCCGCUUCCUUCCCGUGGCUUCUAGAGUCUUCUAGAUGUAAGAUAAUUGCACGGCACAUUAAUAUCUCUAUGUAAUCCCAACGUGUGGGCCUUUCUUCCGUAUUUCCUGAUAACCCCCUGCAGAAAUAGACAAACACCAAAACUCGUGGAAUUCUGUCACAUAAAACCCUAAGUCUAGAUGUUGAUUUCAUUUGGAUCCUUUUCUUUGUUUAUUUGAUAAUUAAAUUUGAUACUUAAGGACCGUCAACAAUAUCCACAAGUAAUCUAGGUCUAAGCACCUCGCUUACACCUAUACUACAACUCUCACCUAUAGCGUCCUAUAGAUUAGAAGUACUCAAAAGAGUUGUGAACCAGAACAUACAUGAUUAGUAAUUGCAUAAUAAAUUAGAAGUAUAUUACCAGAGUCAUCCCAUGAGCAAGCUUGAUUAGAGCUUGAUCAUGACGAAGUACAACCGGAGGAAGAACCGACAGGUCGGCCUCUCCUCCAAUCCUCCCUCGCUCUCCAUCUCGCUACUAUCUAGAUCUACUCUAGUUUAGAGAAGGGAGGAGAGCUCUCAUCUCUAAACCCUAGCUUUUGCUCUGUCUAUGAAUAAUGAAUAAUGAUCAAGGGGGUGCCUCGUCCAGGGGCCAGGGGGUCUGCUUAUAUAGUCCCCUCAAGUGAACCUGGGCCGUCGGAUCAAACCGACAUUGAUUGGACGGUUAUUCUUGAUCCUUUAGGUCGGUGGAGCAUAAUCCGCGAGAUUGAGCGUGAUUGGCCGAAAUAGGUGGGCGGGCGCCCUGUCCCUGAGCCCUCUCGGCUUCCGCUUUGUUCCCGUGGCUUCUGGAAUCUUCUAGAUGAUAGAAAAUUGCGUGGCACGUUAAUAUCUCUAUGUAAACCCGACCUGUGGGCCUUUCUUCCGUAUUUCCUGAUAACCCCCAGCAGAAAUAGACAAACACCAAAACUCGUGGAAUUCUGUCAGAUAAAACCCUAAGUCUGGGUGUUGGUUGCAUUUGGAUCCUUUUCUUUAUUUAUUUGUUGAUUAUAUUUGGUACUUAAGGACCGUCAACACCGACACCAGCCCAAGUCAUCGAUGGACCGAUUACACGUAGUCGUGCAAAGAAGCUACAACAAGAGGUCCACGCGCUACUUUGUGAGAUUCAUUUUAAUAUUAAUGAGACUUAUAUACUACCUAAGUGUUGUACCUUGAUUGUACUCAGGUAUAUAGAAGAAGAGAAGGAUGAAUCGGACCCUGAAGAACGGACCAGUGCAAGUUCCAGAAGAAGUAAAAAACGGACCAGUGGAAGUAAAAAAUGGAGCACUGCAAAGAAAUCUUCAUAACUUUUUACUCACAAAAGCUAUGAAUGUCCAUGAGUACUUGUUGGAAAGCUUGACGAGUCUACUUUCCAAUGAAUCUAGUGGCGAAUAGUUUCGGUACACCAUAAUGCCUGCAAACCAGAAUUAGUACAGACUGCUUAGAAGGUCAACAGUCUGUCGUGACAGAAUGUUGGUACAAUUUGCCAAGCAAAACUGUACCAAUCUACAAUGUUUCAUGCUGGUUGGCAUACAUUGCUGGAAAGCUCUUUGAGUCUAGUUUCACACCCAAGAAACGGUUCAUCAUUUGGACUUCCCAAAAAGUUAUGGUCAGUUUAUUAGAAACUGCUCUGGAGGCCAAUGAAAGGUCCUUGUUUGGUUUUGGUAAUUGAGUGACAACUUAGGUGGACUAAUAGUAUUUAUGUCAGAUAUACAGGAGAUUAGUCCACAGAUGGAUAUGUGAUGAUAAAGGAACUCAUUGCAUAUGAGACAUGACAUGGAGUCAUGUGACCAAGGUGGAGAAGAUCAAGAUGAGGCUUGGCUCGAUGGACUAGUUGCAAGUGUGAAGGGCAAGUCAGAGGCUUUGAAGCGAGGGACCGCAUGUGACGGUGAAGCUUGUGCAAGACUUGGCACCAAUGGACCAAGGCAAUGGUGAAGAGCAAGUGAGGUCAAGAUUGAUGAACCAAUACGGUCAUGUGAUGAUAUGAAGUGGAUCAUAUCAUUUGUGACUGGUUGGUGCAUGUGUUGCAUCAACAUUGAAGGAGAUGGAAUGAAAUACGCAAGGCAAAGGUAUAACCUAUAGGGCAUUUCAUUUCACCGGUCUAAAUUGAGUAGAGAAGUGCUUGACCGGAUUUGGGAUAGAUAACCGUACUUUAAAGAGGGGAAAUCUUUAAUUGCAAUGGUUAUCUAGUGCCACUAAGUGUGAGUCUCUUUUGCAUAUAAAUAGCGCUUAGUGACGUGGUGAGAAUACUUGAGAAAGCCCUAAAAAUUAUUUGUGAAAUGCUAACUUAAGUGCUCAAUUGUUUUUGGUACUUUGUGGGAAAGUUAGCACCUUAAAAAAAGGGGUUUUGAGUUGGAAAACCGAGCUAGUAGUCAUGCCCAAAUAGCAAGUGGUCGAUCGGAAUUAUUCACUGCCCUACCUAGAUAUUCUAGUGUUUGUGCUUGCAACAGAGAGGGGUCGAUCGGAAUUAUUUCCUACCCGCACUGGAAUUUUUCCGAUUGAGCUCAGAUCUAACCCACGCCAACGGUCAAAAGUGUGUUCGCCUGGUAUUAUUUCCUACCCGCACUGGAAUUUCCUGCGAGGCUGAAUCUGACCGUUGGGAGCGCGAGCUGAGGUAUUUGGGGCUGCUGUUGCCCUCUUCCUCCUCACUUCUCUCCCCAUUUUCUCACUUUAGGAGAGCAAGCAAGUUAGGGUUCUUCCUCUCCUCUCUCUCUCUCCCAUGGAUUUGAGCUGAAAUUUCUUAGAAAUAUUGAGAGCCCUUUGUGGGUGUGGAUGAGAGGUUGAAGAUCCACCUUUUCCCCUUCCUCUCCCUCUCAUGCUUGGUGCUAUUUUGAGUGAGGGAGUGAGAGCCUAGUGUGUGCUUUCGUGAUUUGCAUUUGGUGACACUAGGAAAUCUUUGUGAUUGGGGAUUUCUUGUUACUCUUGGUGAUUGCCAUCACCUAGACGGUUUGGUGGAUUGUGAUUCCGUUUGAAGCACGCGAGAAGACUGUGCGGUCCUCCGGAGGAGGAUUUGUGAGGGGUAAGGUGCUCACCCCGCGGGGAUCGCGAAGAGUAACUCUAGUGGAUUGCUUGUGGCUUGGAGGAUCCCCAUCUUGAGAGUGGAUGUGCGGCACCCACUGAGGGUUUGGCUUUGGAAUACCAAUUAGCUCGUGAUCCAUCAAGUGGGUGUAUCGCCACAACGAGGACGUAGCUUGGUGGCAACCAAGUGAACCUCGGUAAAAAUCACUGUGUCAACAUUGUCUACUCUUCUCGGUGGUUUGCAUUCGACUUACACAAGCUUGUAUUUACAUUCUAUAUCUUAUGCUUGUGUAGAUGCUCUUGUAACUAGUCUUGCUUGUGUUGCUUGAAAGUUACCUUCUUGCUUGUGUAGCUAGAAGUAGUUCCCUUGCGUGGCUAAUUUGGUUUGUGUAACCUUGUUAGUCACUUUGCUUAGUUUGUGUAACUAAGUAAGUUGCGCUCUCUAAUUUGGCAUUAGUUGCCUUGUUAUUGAGCUUGCUAGUGAGCUUAGGAGCUUCGUGCUUUUGCUUACUAGUUGUAUAGGAGCUCCCCGGUUUGCAAAGUACUAGUGGCAUAGGUUUGUGUGACCUUGCUCCUAGAAUUGGUUAGAUGAGCUCUUGCUAAGGAAGCACCUUGUUUUCUUGUUUAUGAUCUUUUAUAAGGUGCUAGAGAACUUAGAUAGAGGGGUGUAGUCUUGGCUAGACCGAUAGUUUUAAUUCCGCAUUUAUUUCGGUUAGCCGGUGCAAUAAGUUUUAGAAAGGACUAUUCACCCCCCCUCUAGUCCGCCAUCUCGACCCUUGUUGGGUAUUUUAAACGCAAACAGAAAAAUCCGCAAGCGCACGGAUACCGAUGUAGCCUUCACCCGGGAGUAUUCCAGAGUAUCGAUUUUCCACAGAGAACGUGAGUGUACUAAUUAAGAUCCAAGAUCGCCCAAGGAUAACUAUAUAAUUAUUUUUGGUGGGGAAGAGAGGAAGUUUCCUGAGAGUUCUCUAGUUGAUCUAAGAAUCAAGAAUUACUUCAAGAUUAUUUAUAUCGGGACAUCAGAGCACUAACCACAGAAAGAGAUGAGAAGGAGGCUAGGAAGCUCUGACUACGGUCCUACAAACACUGAUCCGAACAAGGUGGAAUACGUCGACUGUUAGGGCUGUCACAACCCUAAGGCUACCACAACAAUCCGCAGGAUUGGGUGCAAUUCCAGGUAAUUGCAAGACUAAACACCACGUCUUAUCUAUUAAUUACUACUCUAGCGUUAUAAAGACUAGAGCACUUGAUGCAAGCGGGAAUCCAAUAAAUAACUUGAAUGUAAAUAAAAGUAAUUAGAGAACUCAGGAAUUAUGAAUUGAAGAACCUGGAGAACGAUGAAGAACGAACCAGUUGCUGCAAAAGUAUAAUGUUGACGAAGAUCCGACAGAUCCGGCUCCUCCUCCGCUCUCCUCUUCUCUCUCCCUAUUUUCUUGAUUACAACUAGAACUAACUAGAACUAAAACUAGAGGAACUAGAACUAGAACUAGAUGAACUAGAACUAGAUAUAGAUGAACUAGAGGUAGAACUAGAAGAACUAGAGGGAUCCUCUCUACUUGGAUGAAGAAUUGAAACCCUAACUUUGAUUCUGUAGAAGAGGUAUGCUCUCCAGGGGCCAGGGGGCCUUGCUUAUAUAGUCUUUUCAGAUGAAUCUGGGCCGUCGGAUCAAACCGACAUUAAUCGCACGGUUUUCCUUGGUCCCUUAGGUCGGUGGAGCACGAUCCGCGAAGUUGAAGCUGAUUGGUUACUGUAGCUGGGCGGGCACCCAAGGGGGGAGGGCGGGCGCCCUGCCCUCGGGCCCGAUCGGCCUCCCGUUCGUUUCCGUGGCUUCUGGAGUCUUCUAGAUGGUAGAAAAUUGCGCGGCACGUUAAUAUCUCUACGUAAACCCGACGUGUGGGCCUUUCUUUCAUAUUUCCUGAUAACCCCCUGUAGAAAUAGACAAACACCAAAACUCAUGGAAUUCUAUCAGAUAAAACCCUAAGUCUAGGUGUUGGUUGCAUUUGGAUCCUUUUCCACAAUUAGUUGAUGGUUAAAUGUGAGCAUUAAGGACCGUCAACAAGCUCCUCCAAGCUUAACCUUUGCUCGUCCCUGAGCAAAGAUGAACUUAAGAGUUUCUGCAGUGGUUUCAUGCCUUAAAGAUAUACAUGCGUUCAAACAAGAUCUCAUCUCUAGGUUAGGGUAAACUGUUAAGAUUUAAACUUACUCAUAUUACCUUUCACCAUGGGGCUUGUAACCGUCACUUGUGUCUUGAGCAGUUAAAAGAUAGAACGGUCUAGUCAAGCGCCAUGUCUCAUGUUCUUCGAUUAACUAUAGCUCUGGAGUUUUUGCAGAUUUUCAAAUAAAACUCAGAGAUUCCUUGUAUGACUCUCUCUAGUCUCUCUUUUCUGGUAUUUCUGGAUCCUUACCAAGGCAGUAAAGGUGUAUGCCUUCUCUCAAAGUAUGUGGUAUUUUUGGUAUGAGGCAUAGUGACAUUGCCUUCUCUCUCACCAUACUCUAAUAAGGUUUUGAUAUUGGAACUCAUAGGUGGGAGACAGCAAAUACAUACUUACAAGACAUUUAUUGCAUAGUCAAACCAUGGAUCCAGAGAAACAAGUCAAUAAGUCAAAUCAAGAUGUGCAAGUGUGGCAAAUGAAUGAUGCAUUGUAAUGAUGGUGAUAACAAUGGUGAAAGUCGUUUCUUGCUCUUUUGAAACUUUUUGAGGAGAAUGAGAUGCUCUAUAUUUUCUUUUUCUUUUCUCUCAGGGGGGUAUCUUGUACCCCUAAUUCUACUGUCGGACACUUGUCCAUUUUUACCUCUCGUCUCACUUUUUCUUUUCUUUCGAGGUUCCGGGCAAUUGCCCCUUUUUAUUUCCUCGUAUUCUUUCUCUUUUUUUUCUCUCUUUUUUUAGAGCACUCAUCUCAUGAGAUAAUAUAGCAAGUGGUAGUAACAAGAUAACUUGAGCAUUUAUUUCAAGGGGAAAAACAGAAAUCUUUUUGGCUAUUCUCUCCCGGAUUAGGAGUAGAAUAUUUUUGGGUGGUUCUGGAGAUGGAAAUGGAUGGAUAUAUGUGAGUGCGUACUUCCGAAGUAGAAGUAGCAUGUAUGAGUGAACGUGCAAGUGAAUCUUGAUUUAACCACAUGACAAGCUCCUAAGGGUCUACAAAGCUUGACCACACUCAAUGCUCAUAAGCAGUAAAAAGUAAAUGUGUGGCUCAAAGUCUAGCAAGCAUGUAUAUAUGGCUGUGGUAGGAAUUUAAACUCUCAUCAUACAGGAACUCAUCAUGCAACAUUUUAAAGAUUUUCAAAGAUAAAAUUCUCUAGAAUUCUAGCAUCUCGAGGAACAGAUAAACAGCAGCUCAACCUUCCCAUAUCAUAUCCGUUAACGACUUAGACUUUGGAUCAAGUACUCUUCCCAUAAGUUCAGGUUUAGAGCAAAUCUUAAUUAAUAACAGUCAUGCCUAAACUUAAGAGAGAUUUCAAUUUUGAGAACUAGUCAUGGUAGAGCAACUAUUCAUCAUUUCCAUUUGAGAGCUUAUCAUGAGGGUUCAUAGCAAAUUUUAUUUAUUUAUUUAUUUAUUUAGCAAACUAAGCAAAGAUAUAUAUAAGCACAAAAUCUUUAUUUGGGUUUAUAUGAUUAUGCAUCUUUUUAUUAUUUGAGUAAAAUAUAAACAUGACUAGAAUACUUAGCUGGAUAAAUGGGGGUGCUCUCCCCCAAGCUGGAUUUUGACGUAAUUUCUCCUGAUGUAGCUAGCAGGUGGUGGAGAUGUAUUUGAAUGUCAGCAGCGCCCUGACAGCGACUAGGAUGUCCUCUGUAUGCUAGUCUUCUUUGAUCCUUGAAUUCUCUUGGCAAGGCAUUCGGUGUUUUUUAAGUCCUCCAAACGGGACUCUCCGUUUUCUCAGUUGUCCUAGGAUUCGCUGGAUGGCGUAGUCGGUGGUUCCGGCGGCGCCUGCUCUUCGUGUAUAACUAUCUUCUCUCUACACACCUGACUCGGUGCUAUGGUCUCCUCAGGAUAGUUCUGUUCAAGUUGUAUGUCUUCAGACCUCACUACUUCUCCUUCGUAGUCUGCCCAUCCAUCCUUGAUGAUUUGCCUCCUCUGGUUGUGGUUGCGUCAUCUUCUUCUUGUCCUGACCAGCUUAGAGUCUUCAACUAUAUAGUUAGAGUCAGUAAAAUAGCGGCGUACCUUCUCAGAGGGGAAAUGCAUGUGGGCUUCUCUGGUUCCAAUGUAGAUGAUUGCUUUAAUGGUGCUGAGGAACGGUCUCCUAAGGAUGAUGGGUGGAUCUACUCGUCUUCUCCCAUGUCAAUAACCUUCAACCUUCCGGAAUGUCUGAUCUACCAUCUGGAGCUGAAUGUAUGUCGGUUUUAGGGGUAUGGUUCCGAAUAGGAGCUGAUAAGUGACUGCGGCCAUUAUGUUGACGCCUGACCCGGUGUCGCAAAGCUUCUUCUGGAAGUUGUAUCCAUUAAUGGAGCACUAGAUGCUUGGC
rnacentral:lncRNA from 1 species